rnacentral:rRNA from 1 species
CCUACGGGAGGCAGCAGUGAGGAAUAUUGGUCAAUGGACGGAAGCCUGAACCAGCCAAGCCGCGUGAAGGAAGACGGUACUAUGUGUUGUAAACUGCUUUUGUCCGGGGGCAAACGCGGAGACGCGUAUCUGGAUGAGAGUACCGUACGAAAAAGGAUCGGCUAACUCCGUGCCAGCAGCCGCGGUAAUACGGAGGAUUCGAGCGUUAUCCGGGUUUAUUGGGUUUAAAGGGUGCGGCGGCGGGCGGAUAAGUUAGAGGGUAAAUUGCGGGGCUCAACUUCGGGAUGGCCUUUGAUACUGUUCGGCUAGAGUGUAGGAGAGGUAUGCGGAAUUCAUGGUGUAGCGGUGAAAUGCAUAGAGAUCAGGAAGAACACCGAUUGCGAAGGCAGCAUACCG